rnacentral:rRNA from 1 species
AAAUUGAAGAGUUUGAUCAUGGCUCAGAUUGAACGCUGGCGGCAGGCCUAACACAUGCAAGUCGAGCGGAAACGACAACAUUGAMUCUUCGGAGGAUUUGUUGGGCGUCGAGCGGCGGACGGGUGAGUAAUGCCUAGGAAAUUGCCUUGAUGUGGGGGAUAACCAUUGGAAACGAUGGCUAAUACCGCAUAAUGCCUACGGGCCAAAGAGGGGGAUCUUCGGACCUCUCGCGUCAAGAUAUGCCUAGGUGGGAUUAGCUA